rnacentral:rRNA from 1 species
CGUGCAGGCGGCUUGUUAAGUCUGAUGUGAAAGCCCGGGGCUCAACCCCGGAAGUGCAUUGGAUACUGGCAAGCUUGAGUACGGGAGAGGAAAGUGGAAUUCCGAGUGUAGGGGUGAAAUCCGUAGAUAUUCGGAGGAACACCAGUGGCGAAGGCGGCUUUCUGGACCGAUACUGACGCUGAGACGCGAAAGCGUGGGGAGCAAACA